UCUUCCGUAGUAUAGUGGUCAGUAUGUGAGCUUGUCACCUGUCCUGGUUUCCAGGAAUCUGACUUCGCUCGAGACCCGGGUUCAAUUCCCGGCGGGAGAG